UUAACCUACGGGAGGCAGCAGUGGGGAAUAUUGCACAAUGGGGGAAACCCUGAUGCAGCAACGCCGCGUGAGUGAUGACGGCCUUCGGGUUGUAAAGCUCUGUCUUCAGGGACGAUAAUGACGGUACCUGAGGAGGAAGCCACGGCUAACUACGUGCCAGCAGCCGCGGUAAUACGUAGGUGGCGAGCGUUGUCCGGAUUUACUGGGCGUAAAGGGAGCGUAGGCGGACUUUUAAGGGAGAUGGGAAAUAAUGGGGCUGAACUUGAGUGCCGCUUUUCAAACUGGAAGUCUAGAGUG
rnacentral:rRNA from 1 species